CUCAAGCAGACAGCCCUGAAUGAGAUUCUUGGGAUAGCUACUGAAAACUGGCAGCAGGAUUGAUGCUGACGCUUCAUAGGCUGUGGUAACCACGUGACUCACCGCCACGUGUCCACGCAGAAAAGCUACCCCUGUUCAGCGCAUCCUCAGUGCAGCCCCAAGGCUGAAGUCGCCAGUACCCACCUCUCUGGGCAGCCCAGUGAUGUCCCUCAGCGAUGAGACUUCAGCAAAGGUCCCCCAAGAGUGGGCUGGACUGUUGGCAAACCUCCUCAGGAACGGCUCCUCGGUGGUGGUCCCUCAGCAGCAACCUCUCAAGAAUGGUCCCUGGCGACUGCCCCUUAGCAACAGCUCCUCACAAAUGACCCCUAGAAAGUGGUCCAGUAACUAGGUCGCCUCCCAGAAACAGAUCCUCGGCGACGGUUCCUCAGCACUGGCCCCGCAGAAUCAGUUCCUUAAGCCGCUAGACCAUGGCCUCUUAACGGCCCGACUGCCCCCCAGCCACCGGGGGUCUGAGGCUGCGUAGUUUGGGCGCGCAGCUCCAUGGCAACGGAAGGCUGCUUUGGGGUAGCGGGCGGGGCUGUGGCUGCGGAGGGAGAGCCUGUGCGCAGGCGUAGUGCAACAGCGGGGGGUAAAGUGGGGGGAGCGUCGCGGAGGGCAGAGUCCAAGCUGACUGUUGCCCAGACGAUUCUCCUGGAGACUGGGGCAGGUGCUCGAGAACUUGUCUAAAGCCAGUUGAAACUUGGGUCAACUGCUUACUUAAAAGACCAUUUACGCAAAAGUUAGGAUCUCCUGCGUCUCUUGGAUCUGAAUUCUGGCUCUCCCAGGGCUUUGCAGCCUGUGUUGUACCCUCUAAGUUGUGACACUUGACUCCUCUGUAUAACUCACAGGACUCUUUGGAUUGUUUUUGGUCGUUUAAGUUGGCGUUGUCACUAGUCCGGGCAGGAGGUGGGCUCAACAGUGGACAGGACAUGAUCCCUUUCCUCAGAGUCGCAGGGAUGACUGGCAACUCCUGUAGUUUUGUCUUGGAGAUGGAGAACCUUCAGCGUUAAGGAGUCCUCAAAAUAAUACAGAGCCUGUGGAAAUGUCAGUGGAGAUUGGUGGGGGGUACCUCUGCACUCCCUUCAGAUACUUUGCCUGUGAAAUACCACUGCAAUACUGUAUAGGUGUGUGUGUGGCUGGGGAUCGAACCCAGGUGUUCUAUAAGUUUAGAGCUUUGUGUAUGGAAGCCGGAUGUCCUAGUAAAGCAAUUUGGGAAAGAUAGCCAGUUGGUUUGUAACCUUUAGCUGAGGGAGAAUGUGAACUGGGCCUCCUGCUCUGGGUUGACCCUGGUAUAUGGCUGAGCAGAGAGGGUUGUGAAGUAACCAUAUCCAAUACUAAUAUUUGUGGUAUGAAGUAUAAUCCCCACUAUAGUAAAAUAAGUGAAUAAAUUGGUCUUCUCUUUCA
ensembl:processed_transcript 5830444B04Rik RIKEN cDNA 5830444B04 gene